UUGGAGAGUAUUUUAGAAGUGCUAACAAGUGAUUUUGGUGUUGUUUUGUAGAUUGAUGGAAGUGGAGAAAACAAGAGCUAAAAGAGGUCAAAGGAAGGAAAUAGGCAAAAGCUAGCGAAAUUGGAUGAAAUGACCAAAACGUAAGAGAUCCAAAGUUCGAGGAUUAAAAUGCAAUUAAUCAAAAGUCGUGUUGAAACUUGAAAUGAAGAUCCAAGAGUUCUAGAAUCCAAUUGGAUGAAGGAAGGUGUCAAAGGGAUCAAAUUUAGUCAAGAUAUGAUCAUAAAUCAUUUUCCAACCAAAAAGUUUUGCGCUGGAGUUUUGGUCUCACAUUUAGACUCAUUUUU
rnacentral:lncRNA from 1 species